GAAGCUGCGAUGAUGAUUUUAAAGUGUUUUCAGACUAGAGUUUCCGAACGAGGGGUAGUAGCCUUGAAUGUCGAGAUACCCUUGGCUGUCUGAGCAGCUUC
rnacentral:snoRNA from 1 species